AGAAAACGCAUGGGUUAAUACCCUGUGUGGAUGACGGUACCGGAAUAAGAAGCACCGGCUAACUACGUGCCAGCAGCCGCGGUAAUACGUAGGGGUGCGAGCGUUAAUCGGAAUUACUGGGCGUAAAGCGUGCGCAGGCGGUUUGUUAAGAUAGGCGUGAAAUCCCCGGGGCUCAACCUGGGAACUGCGUUUAUGACUGGCAGGCUAGAGUAUGGCAGAGGGGGGUGGAAUUCCACGUGUAGCAGUGAAAUGCGUAGAGAUGUGGAGGAACACCGAUGGCGAAGGCAGCCCCCUGGGCCAAUACUGACGCUCAUGCACGAAAGCGUGGGUAGCAAACAGGAUUAGAUACCCUGGUAGUCCACGCCCUAAACGAUGUCAACUAGGUGUUGGGAGGGUAAAACCUUUUAGUACCGGAGCUAACGCGUGAAGUUGACCGCCUGGGGAGUACGGCCGCAAGGUUAAAACUCAAAGGAAUUGACGGGGAC
rnacentral:rRNA from 1 species